rnacentral:rRNA from 1 species
GUAUUAGGUUCAUCCAACUCGUUGAUUGAUAGAUUGUGUUAUAAAUCGUUGAGUGGUUCCGGCCUUACAACAACUACACAAAGUUUGACCUCAAAUCAGGUAGGAUUACCCGCUGAACUUAAGCAUAUCAAUAAGCGGAGGAAAAGAAACCAACAGGGAUUGCCUCAGUAACGGCGAGUGAAGCGGCAAAAGCUCAAAUUUGAAAUCUGGCACUUUCAGUGUCCGAGUUGUAAUUUGAAGAAGGUAACUUUGGAUCUGGUCCUUGUCUAUGUUCCUUGGAACAGGACGUCACAGAGGGUGAGAAUCCCGUGCGAUGGGGAAUCCAGAUCUAUGUAAAGUGCUUUCGAAGAGUCGAGUUGUUUGGGAAUGCAGCUCUAAGUGGGUGGUAAAUUCCAUCUAAAGCUAAAUAUUGGCGAGAGACCGAUAGCGAACAAGUACAGUGAUGGAAAGAUGAAAAGAACUUUGAAAAGAGAGUGAAAAAGUACGUGAAAUUGUUGAAAGGGAAGGGCUUUGGAUCAGACUUGGUGUUUAGUACUCUUCACUCCUUGUGGGUGGGGCUCUUGCUUUAUACUGGGCUAGCAUCGGUUUGGGUGGUAGGAUAAUGACAUUGGAAUGUGGCUUCACUUCGGUGGAGUGUUAUAGCCUUUGUUGAUACUACCUACCUAGACCGAGGACUGCGUCUUUUGACUAGGAUGCUGGCGUAAUGAUCCAAAGCCGCCCGUCUUGAAACACGGACCAAGGAGUCUAACGUCUAUGCGAGUGUUUGGG